UUAGCAAUUUAUGACAAAAUCAGCAAUGCAGCCUGCCUCAGGCAGGACGCUUAAGGGGUGAUAAUAUCUUCCCUUUUGCGUAAACAGUCUCGUAUCAUAGAAUAUCUAUUGACCAGUUAGGGUUCCUAGUAACCAUAAUACUAGGUGGCGACUCCUUAAACAAGACCAUUCCCCAUAAAGAACAGGAUGCCAUAAAUCCGUUCUUUUUCAAAAUUUAUUUUUAAGACCGCCGCGAUGUCGGGUGCUACAAUGUGAAAUAAGACAAGUCAUUUUAAGAGGAAGUUUUAACCAAAUAAGGGCUUUGUUUUGGAUUAGACUAAUCAAAUGAGGAGACCUAUGUCAUGUUAUUGAUACAAUGAGGGACAAGUAAAUUGAUGAGAAAAGAAAACGAACACCCUCUUUUUUAUAAGAUGAGGUUCGGCCAAAUGAACACCAAAAGGAGGAUGAAGACCGAAUUUAAAUUGAAGUAUGAUUUUGUAUAAGGAAAUGUAUUAUUGUGAUUGUUAAGAAUAAAUUAUGGAAAAAAAAUCCAAUGGCAUUGGUAUGUUUUAUUAAGAAUAACAUGAGAUUGAACAUGAAAAGAAUUGUUGUGUUUCUUACCAUGGUUUGGAAUUUAAGUUUUGAUUGAGAGUUGAAUAAUAUUUUCAUAAAAAAUCAAAUUAUAUGGGAUGAGUUACUCCUAUGACAUAGGAGAGGUCGCGAGUUCAAUACAACAAUAAGAAGUUUUUGCUCGAGUACAGAUUUCAGGUAGGUGCAUUGUAUCUUUGUUAAUUAAUCAUGUCAAAUUCUUGAUAAUGCGCUUUUAUAAUUUCUUUGAUUUCAUUAUAAGUUCUUAAUAGAUCGAUUGUGAAAAACUAAAAAAGAUGCCAGUAUAUUUGACUAUCGAAAAACUAAAAUGACUAGUUUCUGAAAUGAAAAUUAAUGGCAUCAAUAUAUUUGAUGAUCGAGAAAAAUUAAAUUAAGUGGUUCCAAUGAUGGAAACGAGUAGUUAUUGUCAAAUAGAAAAAUUAAAUUGAAUUGACGAUCAACAAAAUUAAAGACAAUUGGGAAUAAAAAUUUAAUGAAAUAAUCAAGAUUAAAUAUUUCUUAUGAAAUCAUUGAGAAUUACUAUGUUGAAAGGGUUUUUUUAUCCUUAAUCUUAAAUAACAUACAAAAUUGUUGAAUUCGUUAUUCUAUAAUUUAAUUACAUCUUUUGUUUUCAGGCUCAUCUUUUUUUAUGUAAUAUAAUGACAUUAGAAUAGUUUGUGCAUGUAACUGAAUUUCUAGUAGUUCUUAAUCUACGAUAAUAUUAGGAACCUUAUCCUUGUCCUGUAAAACGUUGGAUGUUCUCUUUAAUGUACAUGUGAACUUAAUUGUCUACUAUAUAUGACAUGUGUUAUAUACGUUAAGUAGUUGACAUGCAUUCUAAAGCUAAAUUAAUGUUGAAAGGAAGUGUAAUGAUUGAUAAAUGCAUUGCGAAUAAAUAAUAGGAUUAUAGGAGAGCUUUCAUGUAUGAGACGUUGCCGUGUUGGUCUUGGUCUUGACUUUUCAACAUGUAAUUAAAUAUAUUGAUGGGAGAGCUUAUAUUGGUGUUGACUAAAGAAAAAUAAAGAAAACAAUAAUGAUAAUAGAUGAGUGAUUAAGAGAAAAAUUAGAAUCAGUCAACUCCACUUAAAUUUACACCUCUCUGCAUAUAAUUAAAGCGUGCUUCUCCUCUUGAUUUCUUCAUCUCUCCUCCUCUGGCCAAAAACAAAAUGAGUAGCAGCAGCAGCAGCAAAUAUCUCUCUCUCACAAACUCAUCUUUAUUCACACCUCUGCACCUCUCCUUCCUGUUCCUCCAUCUCACCAUCCUUGUAACCGGGGAUUUACCACCACCUUACGUCCCUCUCGAUAGCAUAGCGCUUGAUUGUGGUUCAUCCGCCAAUAGUGUUGGAAACGUUGGGCAAUGGACUGCAGACAUCAACUCAAGAGUGGCCCUUCUAGAUCAAAACAACCUCUCAACACAUCCCACAGAAAAUGUAGCCUCCACUAGCUUUGUACCUUAUUAUACUGCUCGCGUCUCUCUCUCCCAAUUCACCUACACGUUUCGUGUCAACAAAACAGGACCUAAGUUUGUUCGCCUCCAUUUUAAUCCUGCUUCCUACACUGGUUUCUGUAAACAAUUAUGAGUUCAGAAGAAUCUUAUUGAUUAUAUUCAGUAUCAUCACAUGUACAUUUAUAUUGUUUACAGAGGGAAGUUGUUACACGAGAUAAGAAGAUAAGAGAGGAUUCAUGACCACUACUAGAUAAAGAUGACAUAGAAGUCCUGCAUGGACUUUCCUCUGUUUCUGUUACAGCCUCUCUCAAGCUCACGGGGAGAGAACGAAUCAUGAGCUUGUCUCUUAGCAGAAGAAAACAAGCUAUGCAUGAAAGACAGAAUUUGAUGUCAGAGCAAGAGCUCAAAUAUUAUCAACCCAGAGGGUUGGGGAGGCUGUCCGGGGAAUAUGCAAAUCUUUGAAAAGCAUUCGAAUCCAAUAGAGCUCAGCAGUAGUGAUUGCCAUGGAACGAUAUUCAGCCUCUGUACUAGAACGAGCAACGACAGGUUGCUUCUUUGCCGCCCAUGAGAUUAAACAAGGACCUAAGAAAAUCCCGUAGUUAGUGGUGGAGCGCCUAUCAUCCGGGCUCCCAGCCCAAUCUGAAUCACAGUAGCCAUGUAAUUGCAAAAAACCUUUUGAAAAGUAAAUGCCAUGCUCAACUGUAGAUUUAAGGUAUCGAAGGACCCUCUUUGCAGCUGUAAAGUGUGUAGUUGUGGGAGCAUGUAAAAAUUGGCAGAGUUGAUUCACACUAAAUGCAAUAUCAGGUCUUGUCAAGGUACAA